rnacentral:rRNA from 1 species
AUUGAACGCUGGCGGCAGGCCUAACACAUGCAAGUCGAACGAGUGGCGGACGGGUGAGUAAUGUCUGGGAAACUGCCCGAUGGAGGGGGAUAACUACUGGAAACGGUAGCUAAUACCGCAUACCAUCGGAUGUGCCCAGAUGGGUUUAGCUAGUAGGUGGGGUAACGCCACACCUAGGCGACGAUCCCUAGCUGGUCUGAGAGGAUGACCAGCAACACUGGAACUGAGAGACGGACCAGACUCCUACGGUAGGCAGCAGUGGGUAAUAUUGCACAAUGGACGCAAGCCUGAUGCAGCCAUGCCGCGUGUAUGAAGAAGGCCUUCGGGUUGUAAAGUACUUUCAUCGAGGAGGCGUUACUCGCAGAAGAAGCACCGGCUAACUCCGUGCCAGCAGCCGCGGUAAUAC